rnacentral:rRNA from 1 species
GAUGAACGCUGGCGGCGUGCCUAAUACAUGCAAGUCGAGCGAACAGACGAGGAGCUUGCUCCUCUGACGUUAGCGGCGGACGGGUGAGUAACACGUGGAUAACCUACCUAUAAGACUGGGAUAACUUCGGGAAACCGGAGCUAAUACCGGAUAAUAUAUUGAACCGCAUGGUUCAAUAGUGAAAGACGGUUUUGCUGUCACUUAUAGAUGGAUCCGCGCCGCAUUAGUUAGUUGGUAAGGUAACGGCUUACCAAGGCAACGAUGCGUAGCCGACCUGAGAGGGUGAUCGGCCACACUGGAACUGAGACACGGUCCAGACUCCUACGGGAGGCAGCAGUAGGGAAUAUUCCGCAAUGGGCGAAAGCUUGACGGAGCAACGCCGCGUGAGUGAUGAAGGUCUUCGGAUCGUAAAACUCUGUUAUUAGGGAAGAACAAAUGUGUAAGUAACUAUGCACGUCUUGACGGUACCUAAUCAGAAAGCCACGGCUAACUACGUG